rnacentral:ncRNA from 1 species
AUUCUUUAAAUAUAAAAAACCACAACAGCAGUACUAAACAUUAAGCAAUUAGUAAAAACUAGACUUAAUAAUUGAAAAUAAUAUUGGUAAAAAUACGUGCCAGCCACCGCGGUUAUACGUAAAAUAUAAAAAGUAAAAAAAACACUUUUAGUGAAAAAAACUACAAAAGUAUUUUAAAAAACAAAAAAAACAGUCAAAUGUAAAAAAUAAAAGAAAAUCAAAAACAUAAAAAUAAAACACUAAAAAAUAAAUUCACGAAAAUUUAAAAAUAAACCAGGAUUAGAGACCCUGCUAUAUUAAAUUAUAAACAAAAACAAAGAACUACGAGCCAAAGCUUAAAACUUAAAGGACUUGGCGGUUUUUUAGACCUCCCUAGAGGAGCCUGCUACAUAAUCGACAAUCCACGAAAAACCUUACCUCUUCUAGAAAAACAGCUUGUAUAUCAUCAUCGUCAGCUCACCUUAACAAGAGAAGUAAGCCAAAAGAAAGCCUCCAAAACGUUAGAUCAAGAUGCAGCCAAUGAAAAGGAAGUAAGUGGGCUACAAUACUCAAAAACGAAUAGCGAAACUUUAAAAUAAAAAAUAAAAAGAAGAAGGAUUUAGUAGUAAAAAUCUUAAAUAAAAAUAUUUUGAAAAAGCUCUAAAACACGUACACACCGCCCGUCACUCUCUUUACUUAAAAGAGAAAAGUCGUAACAAGGUAAGAGUAGGGGAACCUGCUCUUGGAAAGUU